rnacentral:rRNA from 1 species
CCGUAAUUAGCCGGGUGCUUCUUCUCCGGUUACCGUCAUUAUCUUCACCGGUGAAAGAGCUUUACAACCCUACGGCCUUCAUCACUCACGCGNCAUGGCGGGAUCNGGCUUCCCCCCAANUUCCAAUAUUCCCCUCUGCUGCCUCCUCUAGG